ensembl:lncRNA
AACACAGAUAAGUGAUACCCAAAAGUUGUGUGCUGAAUAGCGUCAUAUACACUUGAGGAUUUCUUUAAACUAAUGGCUUGGGUUUGUAUGAAGGCCUAAUGGACCUAGAGGGACUGCUUGAGAUGGCCAAGGACCACACAGACUUAAGUGUAAACACGCAUAUCUACCCCGUAAUCCAUUUGGCUGGAAGGGAAUGCUAAUUAAAUGUAGUGUACUUUAUGUGCCGAGUGCUAUCCAAAACAGAAGGCGGCGUUGUAGGUGUUUGGUUAUGAAAGGACUAAAUCACCUCCUAAUGGCAGUUUGACGAGUGCUAACGUGUUGUACUGAAUACAGUGGUAUCCAUAUAGUGCACUAUGGCGAUGUGGCCACGGCUUCUUGUUCUUGAGUCUUCCGAUAGCGUAUUCCAGAACUGUAGAUUCCAACGGACCCGUCUUUAUAGAGCAGCACUGCCCUCUAUAGAACAACAAAUAGCAUUGCAUCUGUGCGUGGUGUUAACCAAAACUAAGGGGAAACUUUUUUAGGAAGAACAUCACUACAAAGAAAAAAAAAAACCCAAUGCUGAACAGAGAGAAAUGAACGUUGACAUAAUUAAUUAAAAUUGUGCAAAAUCAAACUUUUAUUCAUUCUUUUUGCUUUCACCAUCUCCAUGACCACAGAGUACCGACAGAGAAAAAAAGACAAGGAUUAAUACAGAGAUGUACACUGGCGUCCCCCCAAGGAAAACCGCCACCAGUCAUGGACAACGACACCAUACCAUCAUUUAUUCAUUCCAGAUGUAUUAUUGUGUACCUGGUCAGUCUCAUUAGUUCUUUUUGUCCCCUGGAAGCUGGCCUUUAACAUUCUCUUCGAGGUUUCGUAUAUUUUCACCCUACAUGAGAUGACAUCACUGUUAGGUUAGAGGACAGUCUGAAAGAAGGUGCUUGCUUGAAGGGUGAGCACACACAUAGGCCGUAUAGAGGCUGUGUAAAGUGCGACGUCCAGUCAGUCAACUCCAUCAACAAUAAAAAAUGUCAAACCUUUAAACAGCGCACACCUUAGUGUGCCUUCUUGGUGGACAUUGAACCGCACACCAGCUUCCUGUCUCUUACAGUGGACUAACCUCUCGUUGUUUAUCUCAGAAGGCUGAAAGAGGUUGACAGGACUGCUUCCAUUAUCAAGAACUGAGCAAACAUGUCUCAGUCUUGAGUUGGCCGUUAAAAGGUUUAUUUCAUGUCCAUAAAAUAGGCCUCCACAACACCCACUGUUUCCUCAUCCAGUGAUUUGUUGGAAUACAAAAUUGAACGACAAAAAUCACACAUUUGUCUUUUCAUUGUGUGGUUCAUUUUGUGUUCUGUUGCCCUUUUAAAAAUCUAAAUUCUGGUGAAAUAUAUAUUAACUGGGCAUCAAGUUUGGGCAUCGAGUUUUGAACAGAAUUGACAGUAUACAUCAGAUAAUUUACCCAUGAGAAGGGAAAUUGAUUUCACAUUGUAUUGUUGAACAAUAACAAAGCAGAAGGUAAGUGCAUUGUGGUCCUUAGUUAGUGUAAUUAUUACCCAACAGAUAUGAAAACAUGUGUGUGUGUGUGUGUGUGUGUGUGUGUGUAAUUAUUACCCAACAGAUAUGAAAACAUGUGUGUGUGUGUGUGUGUGGUCCUUAGUUAGUGUAAUUAUUACCCAACAGAUAUGAAAAGAAACAGACCUCUGAGAUAACGUCUGUACAAACACAAUUAAAAAAAGAAGCCUGUGGAUCCAUGAUCUACUAGCGAGAUACGAAGAAGGUAAUACAGAUUUUCAAUUCUUAUUUUUCCUCCGCUGGAUGUUCGCAAUGAGAAAUGAUAAAAAAUGACAAACAAGACCGACGAAUCAGAGGACUGGUAUGGGACACCAGCCAAGAGCUGGGGGACAGAAGUUCAUCAGAAAUGAAUGGGCUUGUGAAAGGGAGGGUGUGUGUGUGUGUGUGUGUGUGUGUGUGUGUGUGUGUGUGUGUGUGAAGCGUGUGACAAGCCCCUCAACACCCCCCUCUUGUGUCUGUCUGAACUGCCCCAACCCCUCACUCUUAGAGGGGGGAGUUAACGAGUGUGGGACAGCAGGAACCAGAGAAAGAGAAAGAGAGAGAGAGAGAGAGAGAGAGAGAGGGAAAGAGAGGGAGAGAGAGAGGGAAAGAGAGGGAGAGAGAGAGGGAGUGAGAGGGAGAGAGAGGGAGAGAGAGAGACAGAGAGAGAGAGAGAUAGAUAGAUAGAGAGAGAGAGAGACAGAGAGAGAGAGA